GGGUGGCCCGAGGCGGCGAUUCCCUGGCCAGCAGUGGGACACGGGGGGCGGGCAUGUCCACAGGCUUUCUGGGUGGGCCCGAAGGCCCCUGGUGUCGGGGAGCCAUGGGCCUUUGUGCGGGAUCGCAGCCCCCCCGAGAGGCUCCCCGCCUACCGCAGGCCUCGGGGAGCAGGUAUUGCGGGGGUCAGCUGCGCCACUGGAGGCCUGUUCCGGGGGUAUCAACAUAAACUUCAAAUGCAACCAUCUUUUUUCUAGUCACAAUUAAAAUGCAAUAAAGAAGAAAGACUCCGGAAACUGCA
rnacentral:lncRNA from 1 species